ACAAACCUACUGUGCUGCCAGGCAUACAAGAGUAUAGCAUAUACAAUUAUCGUAUAGGACAUAAUACUUGAUAAUGACCAUAAAAUACUAUUAAUAAGUUACUGGUAUAUGUGCUAUACCAUACUUUUAAUUGUUAGUUUACAGCAUGCUCUUUUAUCUAUAUCUAUAUCUAUAUAUAGACAUAUAGAUAUAGAGAUAUAGAUAUAUAGAUAAUAUGCUGUAAAACAGCUUCAGGCAGGUCCUGCAGGAGGUAUUCCAGAAGAAGGCAUAGGAGAUGACAGCUUUACGUAUGUUAUUGUACCUGAUGAGUUUCCAGUGGAAUAAGAUGUGGAGUUGGAAGAGAGUGAUACUGAUGAUCACGACCCUGUCUUCCAGUGGUGCAAGCCCCAUUCAUGUUUAUUAGAUUGCUACUGGUGUGCAAUUCAGAAGAGAAGAAGGCUUGGAGACAGAACAGUGAAAAAUGGAGAGUUGGAUCAACACCAAGUUGGAGACAGGAACUUUGUAACACCUGACACAGAGUGGAAAUUCAAUAACAGUUGA
rnacentral:lncRNA from 1 species